rnacentral:tRNA from 1 species
GGGUAGAUGUCCGAGCGGUUUAAGGAACCUGAUUGUAACUCAGGCGGCUAUGCCUUCGUAGGUUCGAAUCCUACUCUACCCACCA